rnacentral:rRNA from 1 species
GGACGAACGCUGGCGGCGUGCUUAACACAUGCAAGUCGAACGGACAGGCCCUGCUUUUGUGGGGUGCUCGAGUGGCGAACGGGUGAGUAACACGUGAGUAACCUGCCCUUGACUUUGGGAUAACUUAAGGAAACUGGGGCUAAUACCGGAUAGGAGUUCCUGCUGCAUGGUGGGGGUUGGAAAGUUUCGGCGGUUGGGGAUGGACUCGCGGCUUAUCAGCUUGUUGGUGGGGUAGUGGCUUACCAAGGCUUUGACGGGUAGCCGGCCUGAGGGGGUGACCGGCCACAUUGGGACUGAGAUACGGCCCAGACUCCUACGGGAGGCAAGAGUGGAGAAUAGUACACAAGGGGCGGAAGCCUGGUGCAGCAACGCCGCGUGCGGGGUGACGGGCAUCCGGUUGGAAACCGCUUUCGCCUGUGACGAAGCGUGAAUGACGGUAAUGGGUAAAGAAGCACCGGCUAACUACGUG